rnacentral:rRNA from 1 species
AUACGGAGGGUGCAAGCGUUACUCGGAAUCACUGGGCGUAAAGGAUGCGUAGGCGGAUAAUCAAGUCAAAAGUGAAAUCCCACGGCUUAACCGUGGAACUGCUUUCGAAACUGGUUAUCUAGAAUAUGGAAGAGGCAGAUGGAAUUAGUGGUGUAGGGGUAAAAUCCGUAGAGAUCACUAGGAAUACCGAUUGCGAAGGCGAUCUGCUGGGACAUUAUUGACGCUGAGGCAUGAAAGCGUGGGGAGCAAACAGGAUUAAAUACCCCAGUAGUCC